GCCGGUGUUGUGGGAUCACGUGUCCCGGUUCCGACGGGCCGGGCGGGAGUCAUAAAACGGCUUGCCAGGGGAACAGGCUUGAAGGCCUGGCCGUAGAGGGUGCCAGCCCCGUACCUGGACGUGAGCCGUCUUCCGAUCGUGUUGUCCCAAGUAGCGCGGGCCUCGUGGAAUCCCGCGUGAAUCAGCCCAGACCGUUGGGUAAGUCUAAGCAUACCUGUCUGACCGAUAGCGUACCAGUACCGUGAGGGAAAGGUGAAAAGCACCCCGGGAGGGGAGUGAAACAGUCUCUGAAACCGUGCGCCCACAAACCGUCGGAGCCCUUGCGUGGGGUGACGGCGUGCCUAUCGAAAAAUGAGUCUGCGAGUCAGUGGCGGGUGGCGAGCAUAAGCCGUGUGGCGUAUGCGUAGCGAAAGCGAGUCUUAAAAGGCGUUUUCAGUCGCUUGUCCUGGACCCGAAGCGGGAUGAUCUAGCCCUGGGCAGGUUGAAGCGCGGGUAAGACCGCGUGGAGGACCGAACCCACCUGGGUUGAAAACCGGGGGGAUGACCUGGGGCUAGGGGUGAAAGGCCAAUCAAAUUCCGUGAUAGCUGGUUCUCUCCGAAAUGCAUUUAGGUGCAGCGUCGGUCGAUUGCGUCGCGGGGGUAGAGCUACCGGAUGCUUGCGGGCCCUUGUUGGGUACCAACAGCAGCCGAACUCCGAAUACCGUUGACGUGUAUUCCGGCAGUGAGUCGGCGGGGGAUAAGCUCCGUCGUCGAGAGGGAGACAGCCCAGACCGUCGUCUAAGGUCCCGAAGCGUGUGCUAAGUGGGAAAGGAUGUGGAGUCGCAUAGACAGCCAGGAGGUUGGCUCAGAAGCAGCCAUCCUUGAAAGAGUGCGUAACAGCUCACUGGUCUAGUGGUUCCGCGCCGACAAUGUAGCGGGGCUCAAGCACACCACCGAAGACGCGGCAGCAAUCUUCAUGGUUGCUGGGUAGGAGAGCGUCCUGCAUGGGGCGAAGCGGCCGGGUAACCGUGCCGUGGACCGUGUGGGAGUGAGAAUGCAGACAUGAGUAGCGAGAGACGGGUGAGGAUCCCGUCCGCUGGAUGACCAAGGGUUCCGGGGCCACGUUCGUCGUCCCCGGGUGAGUCGGGUCCUAAGGCGAGGCCGACAGGCGUAGUCGAAUGGAUGAACGGGUGGAUAUUCCCGUACCGACCAUGGACCGGCAAAACCGAGACGGUGAGUACUAACCUCCGCCUCGUGGUGGUUCCUUCCUUCGGGUUGGUUCCGUCGCGUGGUGUUGGGACUGUAGCCGCAGUAGGUCAGCGCAGGGGUGACACGGAAUGGGAGCCGGCCGCGGAGGUGGUUUUCCGUGGUCAAGCACGCAGCCAGUCAUGUAGGCAAAUCCGCAUGGCAUGCAUGGCGAGGUGUGAUGAUGGGAGCCGUUAUGGUUCGAUAUCCGGUUGUCCAGGCCGUCGAGAAAAGCCUCGGCGUGAGGGCCAUGGCCGCCCGUACCCCAAACCGACACUGGUGGUCAGGUAGAGAAUACCAAGGCGAUCGAGCGAAUCCUGGUCAAGGAACUCGGCAAAUCACUCCCGUGCCUUCGGUAUAAGGGAGACCCACUGGGGUGAAGGACCUUGCGUCCGGAGCUUUGGUGGGUGGCACAGACCAGGGGGUAGCGACUGUUUACCAAAAACACAGGUGCAUGCGAAGGCGAAAGCCGCUGUAUAUGCACUGACGCCUGCCCGGUGCCGGAAGGUUAAGAGGAUCCGUCAAUCCCUUCGGGGACGAAGCGGUGAAUUCAAGCCCCGGUAAACGGCGGUGGUAACUAUAACCAUCCUAAGGUAGCGAAAUUCCUUGUCGGGUAAGUUCCGACCUGCACGAAUGGCGUAACGACUUCCCCACUGUCUCGACCAGGAGCUCGGCGAAAUUGCAGUACGAGUAAAGAUGCUCGUUAAGCGCAGAAGGACGAAAAGACCCCGGGACCUUUACUAUACCUUGGUAUUGGCGUUAGGCGCGGAUUGUGUAGCAUAGGCGGGAGGCUUCGAAGCGGGUGCGCCAGCAUUCGUGGAGCCGCAAGGUGAAAUACCGCUCUGUUCUCGUUUGACGUCUAACCUCGACAAGUCAUCCUUGUCAGGGACAGUGCCUGGCGGGUAGUUCAACUGGGGCGGUUGCCUCCCAAAGAGUAACGGAGGCGCUCAAAGGUCCGCUCAGCCCGGUUGGCAAUCGGGUGUCGAGUGUAAUCGCACAAGCGGGCUUGACUGCGAGGACGACGGUCCGAGCAG
rnacentral:rRNA from 1 species